GUUUCACUACGGCGUUGGUGACUGCCAACAAUGUUUCUUGAUCUAUGCUUUUCACUUAAGGGCAUCGAAUAAGUUCGCGGUGGCAGUAUACCGGGCUUGCACCCGGAAACUUUAAAUCGCGACUACGGGCCCACCUGGAUUUUCCAGGUCAAAAACUGAGGUAAGACGGCGUUGCGGUGAAACU
rfam:Leptolyngbya sp. Heron Island J, whole genome shotgun sequence.